rnacentral:rRNA from 1 species
AUUUCCCAAUUAGUAAGACCCCUUGAAGACGACGAGGUAGAUAGGUUGGAGGUGGAAGUGCAGCAAUGCAUGGAGCUGACCAAUACUAAUCGGUCGAGGGCUUAUCCACAA